GACGUCAAGUCAUCAUGCCCCUUAUGUCCAGGAGCUUCACACAUGCUACAAUGGCCGGUACAGAGGGCUGCGAUACCGUGAGGUGGAGCGAAUCCCUUAAAGCCGGUCUCAGUUCGGAUCGGGGUCUGCAACUCGACCUCGUGAAGUUGGAGUUGCUAGUAAUCGCAGAUCAGCAACGCUGCGGUGAAUACGUUCCCGGGCCUUGUACACACCGCCCGUCACGUCAUGAAAGUCGGUAACACCCGAAGCCGGUGGCCUAACCCUUGUGGAGGGAGCCGUCGAAGGUGGGAUUGGCGAUUGGGACGAAGUCGUAACAAGGUAGCCGUACCGGAAGGUGCGGCUGGAUCACCUCCUU
rnacentral:rRNA from 1 species